rnacentral:rRNA from 1 species
UACGGAGGGUGCAAGCGUUUAAUCGGAAUUACUGGGCGUAAAGCGUGCGCAGGCGGUUUGUUAAGUCCGUUGUGAAAGCCCCGAGCUCAACUUGGGAAUUGCAGUGGAUACUGGCAGGCUGGAGUACGGUAGAGGAAGGUGGAAUUCCCGGUGUAGCAGUGAAAUGCGUAGAUAUCGGGAGGAACACCAGUGGCGAAGGCGGCCUUCUGGACCAGUACUGACGCUCAUGCACGAAAGCGUGGGGAGCAAACAGG